UACGCACGCACACACACAC
rnacentral:miRNA from 1 species